rnacentral:rRNA from 1 species
UACGUAUGGGGCAAGCGUUAUCCGGAUUUACUGGGUGUAAGGGGAGCGUAGGCGGCGGGGCAAGCCUGAUGUGAAAGCCCGGGGCUCAACCCCGGGACUGCAUUGGGAACUGCCCUGCUGGAGUGCCGGAGGGGCAGGCGGAAUUCCUAGUGUAGCGGUGAAAUGCGUAGAUAUUAGGAGGAACACCAGUGGCGAAGGCGGCCUGCUGGACGGUGACUGACGCUGAGGCUCGAAAGCGUGGGGAGCAAACAGG